CCAGCAGGACUAAACCGCUUCGGGCGCAACGGGACACUGUGACGGAAACCAGAGCACACAGAAAUGCUGUUUACCUUCCCGCCACAGCGGUACCUGUUUAUCUUCUUGCACUGGAAUGCUUUCAAACUGCUAGGUUGGCAGGAGGUGGGACAGAGCAACGGGAGCUCACCCCUCAUGAGGAUUCAAACCACCAACCUUCUGAUCGGCAAGCCCAAGAGGCUCAGUGGUUUAGAGCACAGCGCCACCCUCAUCCCCUUACUUUGUACAAUAGGCUAGUUGCUAAGUGCAUUCGCAUACCCCUCUCUUCCUUCCAUCCAAGCUUGCAAGAGGCAUUAUCAGAGUUUGAGGAAACAUUCCAGCUUGGCAGAAGCCCUCAAGUGGGGGGUGAAAUGAGGGGUGUGACGGAGGAGAAUCCUGAGGGCCAGCUGGAGAGAAUUGGAGGGCCGCAUUGUAUCCAACAAAGUUGGCUAACUUAAUCCCAUUCAUUUCAGUGGGGCUGCUCUUAAUGAUGGCUUAGAUGGAUACAAUCCUUAAUGUAAAUGCUUGAAGGAUGAGAUACGCUUUCAUGGCCAGGUUUGUUUUUAUUUCAGCUGAGCGUCAUUUAUCUCUCCAGCUCAUAGGAAAAGAUAGAGGUCAGGGUGGCUUAGAUGCUGGAAACAUUUUUCUCCUAUUAACUUUAACAGCAAGCUCCCAGAUACCAAAAUGAUGGGUGUAACCUAAAAUGAGAAAUGACAGCCGAGCGCUACUCUAUUACUUGACAUCAAUGAUUGGCCAUGAUACCACACUGUAUAUUUAUGAACGCACAUCAAUUUAUGAAUCAAAGAAAGCAUUGGAGAUUAUAUUAAAAUUCAGCCUCUGAGAUUUUCAGAAGAAUCCCUUUUUUUCCAAGCCCACAAUUUGGAAGCAAGAACAGAACAGGGUAUCCAAAAUGCAAACGUGGGUUUCCCGACGAAAUAACAGAAGCACUCAUAAUGCGCAUGGCGCAUCUUUGCUGUCAAAUUAACAUGAAAUACAGGUUUGGUAUGGGUAAAUGCUUUGUGGUUAAGCAUCCUGUAUUGCACCAUUGUGUUGGUCUUCUUCAGACAUUGCAGUCAUGGAUCAGUUCCUGGUUUGAUAUCCUGUAAGCAGGGAUUAAACCACACUUUCCUGGUUUGUAGAGUGGCAGACUCUAGACCACGGACACUUCCCCUGUUUAGGGAAGCUUUUAAUAUUUGAUGAAUUAUUGUACAGUCGUACCUCCGCUUACAUAUCCCUCUGGUUAUGUAAACUUCGGGACACAUAAGCGGCAAACCCGGAAGUAUAUUUCCGGGUUUUUGGCCGCACAUGUGUGCACAGAAGCGGUCUCUCCGGUUGCGAAAACCUCGGGAUCCAGCCGGACCUCCGAACAGAUCCUGUCCGCAACCAGAGGUAGCACUGUAUUUUAAUAUUUUUCUGGAAGCUGCGCAAAACCCAGCCAGAUGGGCGGGGUAUAAAUAAUAAUUAAUGAUGAUGAUGAUGCCAUACUAAACAUACAAAUCUUUAAAGGUGCAAACGAGACUUGUUCUUGUUUUGGCGGCAACAUACAAGCAAAAUACACCCCCCUCCCCAAACCACUGACAGAAGGGCUUCAGGAUUGGCCAAAGAUGUUUCUCUGAGGGAAAAUAGGAAAUCCCCACCAUGUAGAGGCCUACCCUACGCCCGUGAACAACUCUGUGGGCAUAAAUCUACAUCUGGCAAGUUCUUGUUGGAAAAAUAGGGGAAAUUAGGCCCUGAACUGGGCUUUCCUAGUGGAGCGAUGAUAGGAUGAAGUUGGUCUUGAAUUCACUGGAUCAAAGGUCCCUUCACUGUGGAACUUUACAUCAUUCAUUGGUUAAUCAUUACAUUUAUAUCCCAUCUCUCCUCCAAGGAGCUCAGGGUGGUUAGACGUGGUUCUCCUCUCCUCAGUUUAUCCUCACAACAGCCCUGCGAAGUUGGUUAGGCUGAGAAACUGGCCCAAGGUGACAGCAACAUAGUCAAGUGGGGAUUUGGUCUCCUGGGGGUCCUAGUUUGAUGCUCUCGCCACAGCACCAUGCUGUCUUUUUCUGGAGUGUAGACUCUGAGAGAAAUAAAAGAGUAGGUUUC